UACGGGGGGGGCAAGCGUUGUUCGGAAUUACUGGGCGUAAAGGGUUUGUAGGUGGCCCGCUAAGUCACACGUGAAAUCCCUCAGCUUAACUGGGGAACUGCGUGUGAGACUGGCAGGCUCGAGGGCAGGAGAGGAACGCGGAAUUCCAGGUGUAGCGGUGAAAUGCGUAGAUAUUCGCAAGAACACCAGUGGCGAAGGCGGCUCACUGGCCCGAUACUGACGCUGAGGCACGAAAGCGUGGGGAGCAAACAGG
rnacentral:rRNA from 1 species